UGCAGAGAAUGGGAAGAGGCAGCACUUCCUUCAUUCCCCAAACCAAAUUUCUACACAUGUAGCCUGAAGAAGCUUCCACGGCAACUCCCAUCAGUCCCGCCCCUGCACCACCUCCAGGAUCCCCUCUGCAGGCCUGGGGUGAAACCAAGGAAGAAGGAGACUCAGAGAGAAUGUGAAUUGGAGAAAGACACUGCCUGGUCUCGGGAACUCAUGCCGCCACCUCCCUCGGCCUUGGCCCCAAAGUGGGAAGGGCAUGCCAGCUGCCAACACCUGCACUUCCUGCUUGAGGACCGUCCUGGCUCCCGAGUGAGAUAGGUUAGAAGGCC